GCGGCAGGCCUAACACAUGCAAGUCGAGCGGUAGAGAGAAGCUUGCUUCUCUUGAGAGCGGCGGACGGGUGAGUAAUGCCUAGGAAUCUGCCUGGUAGUGGGGGAUAACGUUCGGAAACGAACGCUAAUACCGCAUACGUCCUACGGGAGAAAGCAGGGGACCUUCGGGCCUUGCGCUAUCAGAUGAGCCUAGGUCGGAUUAGCUAGUUGGUGAGGUAAUGGCUCACCAAGGCGACGAUCCGUAACUGGUCUGAGAGGAUGAUCAGUCACACUGGAACUGAGACACGGUCCAGACUCCUACGGGAGGCAGCAGUGGGGAAUAUUGGACAAUGGGCGAAAGCCUGAUCCAGCCAUGCCGCGUGUGUGAAGAAGGUCUUCGGAUUGUAAAGCACUUUAAGUUGGGAGGAAGGGCAGUUACCUAAUACGUGAUUGUUUUGACGUUACCGACAGAAUAAGCACCGGCUAACUCUGUGCCAGCAGCCGCGGUAAUACAGAGGGUGCAAGCGUUAAUCGGAAUUACUGGGCGUAAAGCGCGCGUAGGUGGUUUGUUAAGUUGGAUGUGAAAUCCCCGGGCUCAACCUGGGAACUGCAUUCAAAACUGACUGACUAGAGUAUGGUAGAGGGUGGUGGAAUUUCCUGUGUAGCGGUGAAAUGCGUAGAUAUAGGAAGGAACACCAGUGGCGAAGGCGACCACCUGGACUAAUACUGACACUGAGGUGCGAAAGCGUGGGGAGCAAACAGGAUUAGAUACCCUGGUAGUCCACGCCGUAAACGAUGUCAACUAGCCGUUGGAAGCCUUGAGCUUUUAGUGGCGCAGCUAACGCAUUAAGUUGACCGCCUGGGGAGUACGGCCGCAAGGUUAAAACUC
rnacentral:rRNA from 1 species